UGGUGGACCUAGGCGGGGGGCUAGGGGUCCCCUGAGAGCCUUAAGGGCUCGACCGCAAAACCCCUACACGGCGGGCCGAAAGCUGAGGGUGAGACGCACCCAGCCCGGCUGGAAGGCUUGGCGGAGUCCCUAGGAAGGCCUGUCCUCCAGGGCUGGCGGAGCGGCUGACCUACCCGUAGGGGUGGGCAGACCGUAACGCCGGGUGAACCAGGCCAGGCCCGGGAGGGAGCAACCUAAGCUCGGACGUUCAGCGCUUGGAGGGGUGCGGGCCUGAGGGAAGCCGUUAAGCCUAAGCCUGGUAUGAGCGUCAAACCUCGGGGUCCACCA
rnacentral:SRP_RNA from 1 species